GGAUCAGGUAGGAAUACCCGCUGAACUUAAGCAUAUCAAACGGAGGGA
rnacentral:rRNA from 1 species